rnacentral:rRNA from 1 species
UGCAUGUCUCAGUACAAGCCAAAUUAAGGUGAAACCGCGAAAGGCUCAUUAAAUCAGUUAUGGUUCCUUAGAUCGUACCCACAUUUACUUGGAUAACUGUGGUAAUUCUAGAGCUAAUACAUGCAAACAGAGCUCCGACCGGAGACGGAAGGAGUGCUUUUAUUAGAUCAAAACCAAUCGGCGUCAGUAGCGUUUCGGCGUUGCUGUUCGUCGCACUUUUUGGUGACUCUGAAUAACUUUUGGCUGAUCGCACGGUCUUGUACCGGCGACGCAUCUUUCAAAUGUCUGCCUUAUCAACUGUCGAUGGUAGGUUCUGCGCCUACCAUGGUUGUAACGGGUAACGGGGAAUCAGGGUUCGAUUCCGGAGAGGGAGCCUGAGAAACGGCUACCACAUCCAAGGAAGGCAGCAGGCGCGCAAAUUACCCACUCCCGGCACGGGGAGGUAGUGACGAAAAAUAACGAUACGGGACUCAUCCGAGGCCCCGUAAUCGGAAUGAGUACACUUUAAAUCCUUUAACAAGGACCAAUUAGAGGGCAAGUCUGGUGCCAGCCGCCGCGGUAACUCCAGCUCUAAUAGCGUAUAUUAAAGUUGUUGCGGUUAAAAAGCUCGUAGUUGAAUCUGUGUUCCGCGCUGUCGGUUCACCGCCCGCGGUGUUUAACUGGCACGCUCGCGGAACGUCCUGCCGGUGGAUGCGUGUCCUUUGUUUACUUCCCCAUUGUGUGUGUGCAACUUGUUGUUACUACAUGGUGUGGUGGGGUUUCAAAUGUGUCACCAUCCGACUCAAUAAUCCUGUCGCGGUGCUCUUAAUUGAGUGUCGAGGCGGGCCGGCACGUUUACUUUGAACAAAUUAGAGUGCUCAAAGCAGGCUAAAAUUUCGCCUGAAUACUGUGUGCAUGGAAUAAUGGAACAGGACCUCGGUUCUAUUUUGUUGGUUUUCGGAACCCCGAGGUAAUGAUUAAUAG